CUCAUUAUUGUUUCCCUAGUAACUUCCACAUUUGAGCACUAAAUAAUGAAUGAAUGAAAGGAAGAAGGGAAAGNNNNNNNNNNNNNNNNNNNNNNNNNNNNNNNNNNNNNNNNNNNNNNNNNNNNNNNNNAAAGAGGGAAGGAAGAGAAGAAAGUAGGAAAAGAGGAAAGAAGAGAAAGAGAAGUGUGCCGCUAGGUGAGAAGCAAACAUACUACACCGUAUAUCUCAAGAUGUUAUCAAAACUGAAAGAGGUGACAGAGCCAGCACAAGAAGAAGCAAAUGCUCUGGGCUGACACACAGUUUAUUUGCUGGGAUUUGGAGCGAUUUGAAAGGAAAGAUAGCAGAGGAAUAAUAGCUUUAUGCACACAGGCUGGUGAGUGGGAGGCCAGAAACAGGGAAGCCCCACUGAUCACACUUCAGUGACUCAAGAGUGACAGACACCAUGGGAACCCAGCUACCCCACAUUCCCCAAGCCCAGCGUCAAUGCUGCCCCUCCUCAGUGUGCCAGCAACAGGAUGUGCUGUGACCAAGGUGCUACCAUAAAUAGAGGUCACUCUCUUCCACUAAACUUCUUAACAGUACAGGAUUUGAGUGCCAGCUGCACACCACGAUGAGAUGAGCCUUUCUAUAUUCCCACCACAUACAUGGUCAGCCAACAAGAAUGGCAAAUUGCUGUUUCUGAUACCACAGCCCAUUUGACAGAAAGAGUCAGCCUGAAGUUUAGUUUAGUGACCAGGUGGGCAGGAAAUUUAGGAUGAAACCACCAAAACAACCACAUUGAAGUGGACCUAAAUCAGUCCAGUCUAGUUCUUUUUUUGAUACUGGGGAUCGAACUUGGGUCCUUGCACUUGUGCUGCAUGGAAGCGAAACCACUGAGCUAAAUCCCCGGCCCUAGUCCAGUCUAGUUCUAUGUGAAUCUCACAUAAACAGAAAACAAUCUUUUACAUGCAGGACAUGCUUAUACUAAGAAAUGAUCUGCUGUUUAUCUCAAAUUUGAAUUUACCUGGGAAUCCUAUAUUUUAUUUGCCAUAUCUACCAAAUGGAUCCUCCUCCCUGAACCUCAUUUUCCUAGUUCAUUUCCAUCUUCGUAGCAAUGCCUGUCUCACAGGGUGGCUGAAGAUCCACUGAGAUGCUGUCGACUCCAUACAAUGCUCACACACUGUUGACUAUCACGGGUUGUGAUCAUGAUAAAUUGAGCUCUUAAUUAUUCUUCUCCUUCCCCACUGUCUUUGUCUGCCUUUUAGCCAUUUCUAAAUGCUAAACGUUUCAUAAAGGUCAUUGUAUGUUUCCUUCAUGGUGGAACAUUUCUUUUCUCGACUUGGAAAUCACAACACUGGGGGUCAGAUGUAGAGAAAGAAGGUGAGAUUUAAAAGUGACAGCUGGUUUUACCAUAAACAGCUGUAGAAUUUAGUCCAAUACUUUUUCUCUAACUAGUGACAGGAUCAUUUGGCUUUCUCCUUUCCUGUUAAAAUGAUGACUUUUGGGGGUGGACCUUCCAGUGCUGAACCAACACUGCCAUCCCUAUAAUAAAACCACUUUCUACAUCCUGCCAGGUCUGACUUCUAAUAGUUUGUUUUGUUAAACAAAUUUCUAUCUAUGUUCAUACUUUUUUCUUCUAUUAUCUUUAUCCAGUUUUAGGAUUAGCACAAUGUUGAUUUCCUAAAGUGAGAGGAAAAGUGUUCCUUCUUUUUUCUGCUUUAAAUGUUUGAUAUAAUUUAUCAGUUAAAAUGUAUAUGAGCCUGCUAUUGUCAUAUAGGUAGGUUUUCAAGCUAGGAAUAUACUUUCUUUAAUAGGUGCUAUUCAAAUUUUAUAUUUCCUCCAGAGUUAGUUUCAUUAAUUUGUCUUCCAAGGUACUUCUUAGAAGUUGUCAAAUUUAUUUCAAAAAAGAUUUUUGUAAUAUGCUUUCUAUAUCCUUUUAAAUUCUGUAAAAUCUGUGGUAAUGUCUCCUAGAUCUUAAUAUUGUAAUUUAAAAAAUGUAUAACUGAUAUUGUGUAACAGGAAGAAAAGGUCUAAAAGAGCAG
rnacentral:lncRNA from 1 species